UGGGGAAUUUUGGACAAUGGGGGAAACCCUGAUCCAGCCAUCCCGCGUGUGCGAUGAAGGCCUUCGGGUUGUAAAGCACUUUUGGCAGGAAAGAAACGUCAUGGGUUAAUACCCCGUGAAACUGACGGUACCUGCAGAAUAAGCACCGGCUAACUACGUGCCAGCAGCCGCGGUAAUACGUAGGGUGCAAGCGUUAAUCGGAAUUACUUGGCGUAAAGCGUGCGCAGGCGGUUCGGAAAGAAAGAUGUGAAAUCCCAGAGCUCAACUUUGGAACUGCAUUUUUAACUACCGGGCUAGAGUGUGUCAGAGGGAGGUGGAAUUCCGCGUGUAGCAGUGAAAUGCGUAGAUAUGCGGAGGAACAACGAUGGCGAAGGCAGCCUCCUGGGAUAACACUGACGCUCAUGCACGAAAGCGUGGGGAGCAAACAGG
rnacentral:rRNA from 1 species